rnacentral:misc_RNA from 1 species
GAUGAAGAACGUAGCGAAAUGCGAUAAGUAAUGUGAAUUGCAGAAUUCAGUGAAUCAUCGAAUCUUUGAACGCACCUUGCACUCCUUGGUAUUCCGAGGAGUACGCCUGUUCGAGUGUUAUGAAGCUCUCAAAACGCAAUUGGCUUAAAACCUGAUUGUUGUCUUGGAUUUGAACUUUGCCGUGUUAUAACGGCUGGUUUUAAAAGUAUUAGCUGGUACUAGAACGAAUUGGUUCUACUCAACGUGAUAAUUAUCUGAUCGUUGAGGACAUUCCUUUCACGAGGAAUGGCCAUAGUAAAUUCAAUGGACUGCUUCUAAUCUGGCUUUAAUUCUUUAUUGGAUUAACCACUUUUCAAAUCUGACCUCGAAUCAGGUGGGACUACCCGCUGAACUUAAGCAUAUCAAUAAGCGGAGGA